rnacentral:rRNA from 1 species
GAAUUGCGGCGGACUACGAUGCAGUCGAGCGGUAACACAGGGAGCUUGCUCCUGGGUGACGAGCGGCGGACGGGUGAGUAAUGUCUGGGAAACUGCCUGAUGGAGGGGGAUAACUACUGGAAACGGUAGCUAAUACCGCAUAACGUCGCAAGACCAAAGAGGGGGACCUUCGGGCCUCUUGCCAUCAGAUGUGCCCAGAUGGGAUUAGCUAGUAGGUGGGGUAACGGCUACCUAGGCGAGACCCAUAGCUGGUCGAGAGCAUGACAGCCACUGGACUGAACGGUCAGAUCUACGGAGGCAGCAGUGGGAUUGCACAUGGGCGCAGCUGAUGCAGCAUGCGCGUGUAUGAGAGCUCGGGUGUAGUACUCAGCGGGAGGAGCGUGAGUAUAACUCAGCGAUGACGUACCGCAGAGAGCACGCUACUCGUGCAGCAGCGCGGUAAUACGAGGGUGCAGCGUAUCGGAAUACUGGGCGUAAAGCGCACGCAGGCGGUCUGUCAAGUCGGAUGUGAAAUCCCCGGGCUCAACUGGGAACUGCAUUCGAAACUGGCAGGCUAGAGUCUGUAGAGGGGGGUAGAAUUCCAGGUGUAGCGGUGAAAUGCGUAGAGAUCUGGAGGAAUACCGGUGGCGAAGGCGGCCCCCUGGACAAAGACUGACGCUCACGUGCGAAAGCGUGGGGAGCAAACAGGAUUAGAUACCCUGGUAGUCCACGCCGUAAACGAUGUCGACUUGGAGGUUGUGCCCUUGAGGCGUGGCUUCCGGAGCUAACGCGUUAAGUCGACCGCCUGGGGAGUACGGCCGCAAGGUUAAAACUCAAUGAAUUGACGGGGCCCGCACAGCGGUGGAGCAUGUGGUUUAUUCGAUGCAACGCGAGACCUUACCUACUCUUGACAUCCAGAGACUUACCAGAGAUGCAUUGUGCCUUCGGGACUCUGAGACAGUGCUGCAUGGCUGUCGUCAGCUCGUGUGUGAAUGUUGGGAUAGUCCCGCACGAGCGCACCCUAUCUUGGUGCCAGCGGUAGCCGGGACUAAAGGAGACUGCAUGAUAACUGAGAAGGUGGAAUGACGUCAAGUCAUAUGGCCUUACGAGUAGGCUAACACGGCUAAAAUGGCGCACACAAAGAGAAGCGACCUCGCGACAGCAAGCGGACCUCAUAAAGUGCGUCGUAGUCCGGAUUGGAGUCUGCAACUCGACUCCAUGAAGUCGGAAUCGCUAGUAAUCGUAGAUCAGAAUGCUACGGUGAAUACGUUCCCGGGCCUUGUACACACCGCCCGUCACACCAUGGGAGUGGGUUGCAAAAGAAGUAGGUAGCUUAACCUUCAGGGAGUACGCUUACUCACAUUUGGAAUCCAGCGG